rnacentral:lncRNA from 10 species
GCCCGAGAUGGCAGAACAAGAGCUACAGGGUACAAGCCCGAGGGACGAGCUGCGCGAUGAUUGGCUGGGGAGCUCCCUCAGGUGAGCUGCCAUUGGCAGAGGCGCGCUCAGGUAAGGCCCUUCUCCGAGUGCAGGUAACUCACUCCGAAGUUUACCCGAGUGGAGCGGCGGCAUGCUUGCAGCUCGGCGGCAGCCUGUGAGAGCUGAGGGUCAGUUCUUCGAGUAGAUCUCAAGCUGCGUUUUCCUCCUUCUCCAAAGCAGGGAUGGGAAGGUGGAGGCUACUGGUUGAAGAGAAGAAAGGGGUUGGGGGAAUGCAACACCUGCAAACACUAGGGAUUGUGGGUCGAGCGGAAGAGCUAAUGAGAGCCGAGCUCAGGUAUCCCAAGUCAACCAGAAUCAAAUGCGCAGUACGCCACAAGGCAUUUAAUGCCCACAGUAACAGGGCUGUUUGACAGUGGCAGAAGAGGACGGGACUAAAGUUACUUUGUGCUGAGAGGGGGAAAGAAGCACAAAGUUUGGUCUGUUGCGUAAUUGAAUUUUUAACACUCUUAUCCACAACAAACACUUUUUCGUGUCCUGCUGUGUAAAAGACAUCAGAUAUAUUACAGAUUUUCAAACAGGCAGGCAUCAACAUUUACAUUGUAAUUCAAUAGACGCUACUACUACAAAGGAGCUUUAUUCUUCCAGCUUAAUAUGGUUGCUGCGGGAACACUGCAGGAUGAAACUGACUUUUUUUGUGGUAAUGUUUCUCCUGGUUGGGAACAACGCAAAUUAGCAAAGGCGUAAUUUAUAACCGCUGCUACCAAAGAGUGAAGUAUUUGUGGAAGUUCUGACUGGAAUCUAGCUCGUACAUAUGGAUUGUGGAAAUAAAGGAGGACGUGGAAAGCUUGCCAUAUUUUAUUUCAAGUUAAUACUAAAGCUGCCAGACUUAAUACAACUUUCUUUUAAUCUUUAUGGAUCACAUAUUUUCUGAAAAUUACAUGAUAAAACAAGGUUUGGUUUGUUCCAUGUGUCCAUUUUCAACAAUAAAUUUCAAAAUUGUAUUUUUAAAAAACAAUAUAAACACACACUUUAAAGAAAUAAUAUAUUUUAAGACAAUGCAGGUACUAUUUUAAUAUAAUAUUUUAAGAUAAUGCAAUACCUAUCAUGUUCCUCUCCUUUUUAGAGGCAGCCAUAUUCUGCUUUUAUCUGUCUCUUCUGUCAUUUACCUCCCUAUUUCUAAAUAAUUUGUACUGCCAUCUCUUGAUUUGCCAAUAGAUGUUGUGCUCUGACUACCUGUUGCUUCAGAUUAGGAUUUAGCUCUUUCAUGCCAAGCAACUUCUCCUUCCAACACAGCACUUUCACAGUUUAGGAGCUAAGUAAGUGACUAUGCCAAUAGCAAUGACAACACAGCCAAUAGUGUACUAUUCUUGUUUUCUUCCUUAUAAAACCUUGUAUCUAUUUACUUAGUUUGUUAUGCCCCAUCCUGAUAUUUUUCUACAACUGAUCUAUCAAAUGACUAUCAUGUUUAUUUUCCAAAUGAUCAAACAAUCAAUUCCAAUUUUGCCCUGAA